rnacentral:rRNA from 1 species
AUUGAACGCUGGCGGCAUGCCUUACACAUGCAAGGUCGAACGGCAGCACGGGAGCAAUCCUGGUGGCGAGUGGCGAACGGGUGAAGUAAUAUAUCGGGAACGUGCCCAGUCGUGGGGGAUAACGUAGCGAAAGCUACGCUAAUACCGCAUACGAUCUAUGGAUGAAAGCGGGGGAUCGCAAGAACCUCGCGCGAUUGGAGCGGCUGAUAUCAGAUUAGGUUGUUGGUGAGGUAAAAGCUCACCAAGCCGACGAUCUGUAGCUGGUUUGAGAGAACGACCAGCCACACUGGGACUGAGACACGGCCCAGACUCCUACGGGAGGCAGCAGUGGGGAAUAUUGGACAAUGGGCGAAAGCCUGAUCCAGCAAUGCCGCGUGCAGGAUGAAGGCCUUCGGGUUGUAAACUGCUUUGUACGGAACGAAACGGUGAGCUCUAAUACAGUUUGCUAAUGACGGUACCGUAAGAAUAAGCACCGGCUAACUACGUG